AGUGAACGCUGGCGGUAGGCCUAACACAUGCAAGUCGAACGGCAGCACAGUAAGAGCUUGCUCUUACGGGUGGCGAGUGGCGGACGGGUGAGGAAUGCAUCGGAAUCUACUUUUUCGUGGGGGAUAACGUAGGGAAACUUACGCUAAUACCGCAUACGACCUACGGGUGAAAGCAGGGGAUCUUCGGACCUUGCGCGAUUGAAUGAGCCGAUGUCGGAUUAGCUAGUUGGCGGGGUAAAGGCCCACCAAGGCGACGAUCCGUAGCUGGUCUGAGAGGAUGAUCAGCCACACUGGAACUGAGACACGGUCCAGACGCCUACGGGAGGCAGCAGGGGGGAAUAUUGGACAAUGGGCGCAAGCCUGAUCCAGCCAUACCGCGUGGGUGAAGAAGGCCUUCGGGUUGUAAGGCCCUUUUGUUGGGAAAGAAAAGCAGCAGGUUAAUACCCCGCUGUUCUGACGGUACCCAAAGAAUAAGCACCGGCGAACUUCGU
rnacentral:rRNA from 1 species